AACGAACGCUGGCGGCGCGCCUAAUACAUGCAAGUCGAGCGAGAAGACGUAGCAAUACGUUUGUAAAGCGGCGAACGGGUGAGGAAUACAUGGGUAACCUACCCUCGAGUGGGGAAUAACUAGCCGAAAGGUUAGCUAAUACCGCGUACGCUCCUUGGACUUCGGUUCAGGGAGGAAAGCGAUACCGUGGGUAUCGCGCUCUUGGAUGGGCUCAUGUCCUAUCAGCUUGUUGGUGAGGAACGGCUCACCAAGGCUUCGACGGGUAGCUGGUCUGAGAGGACGAUCAGCCACACUGGCACUGCGACACGGGCCAGACUCCUACGGGAGGCAGCAGUAAGGAAUAUUGCGCAAUGGGCGAAAGCCUGACGCAGCGACGCCGCGGUGGGGGA
rnacentral:rRNA from 1 species